UUGAAAGGUAUGGCCCUGCCACAGAGCCAGC
rnacentral:piRNA from 1 species